GACGAACGCUGGCGGCGUGCUUAACACAUGCAAGUCGAACGGAAAGGCCCCUUUGGGGGUACUCGAGUGGCGAACGGGUGAGUAACACGUGAGUAACCUGCCCUUGACUUCGGGAUAACUUCAGGAAACUGGGGCUAAUACCGGAUAGGAAUCCUUGCUGCAUGGUGGGGGUUGGAAAGCUUCGGCGGUUUUGGAUGGACUCGCGGCUUAUCAGCUUGUUGGUGGGGUAGUGGCUUACCAAGGCUUUGACGGGUAGCCGGCCUGAGAGGGCGACCGGCCAACUUUGGAACUGGAUUACGCCCCGACCCCCAAGGGGGGGCGGAGGGGGGAAUAUUGCACAAUGGGCGGAAGCCUGAUGCAGCAACGCCGCGUGCGGGAUGACGGCCUUCGGGUUGUAAACCGCUUUCAGCAGGGGCGAAGCUUGUGGUGACGGUACCUGCAGAAGAAGCACCGGCUAACUACGUG
rnacentral:rRNA from 1 species